rnacentral:lncRNA from 1 species
CUGAGUCAGCCAUGGGAGCACAGGUGAAGGCAAUUCAGCUGUGUGACCAGAAGGGGUGGAGCCUGGCUGCACCUCUCCUAGACCCCAUUUAAGGGCUGACUGCCACUGGGGAAGGAUCUCUUUUUGGAGAUUGCUUCUUGUGGAGUUUAUCCUGUGAGCCUAUGACACAGGUGAGCAUUUGCUAUCUGUUUCUGAUUAUCCCUUUCCAAUGCAAUAAUCUUUCUAGCUUUACCACCUAUGGAUACCAAUCUGACCACACCAUUCUGUAUAUCUGUUGAUUAUACAGCACCAUUCUGUAUAUUUGUUGGCUAUACAGAUGUCCUGUCCCUUCUCUUUCCAAACCCUGGUGCAUCCACUGGCAUGUUCCUUCCCCUGCAGAUUUCCCCUGGUCCCAUCCGACUGGCAGCAGGAGAGUCUCCGUGCCUGUUGUCAUUUGCAUUAUUCUGGGGGCUCUUCUCUGCCUGCUCCUGGCCCUCCUGGCUGGGCAGAUGCAAAAUGCCAAGGCCCAGCGCAGAGGCUCCAGUAGAAUUGAGGAGCCCGUCCUCGAGGCUGUGUAUGAGGAGAUCACAUACAGCUCUGCAUGGGAGAAGCAGACAGUGUUUGAGCACUCAGACAUUGCUAUCCCGCCCAGAGGUGAUCCAGAAGAUGGCUAUGAUGAUGCCAAGUCGGCUUCUGAACCUGAGGAUGAUCCUGUCUCUGGGCAGGGUCGCCAUGAGUUGCCCAGGACACGAGAGGAGGGAGAGGAGCCCAGGGAUGCAGUCAGAGGUAAGAAGGAAAUGGAAUGCAGCUCUGCUAGUUACCACGUACCAUUCCCUGUCUUAGGUGAAUUGCUGCAG